rnacentral:snoRNA from 1 species
CAUGACAUGAUGAUUAGUAUUAAAAACGACACCUCUUGUCUGAAAAACAAACCAUGACGUUAAAAAAUACACACUGAAGA